GAUGAACGCUGGCGGUAUGCCUAACACAUGCAAGUCGUACGAGAGUUUUUAACUCUAGUGGCGGACGGGUGAGUAACACGUGAGAAUUUGCCUUUAGGAGGGGGACAACAAUUGGAAACGAAUGCUGAUACCCCAUAUGCUUUCGAGUGAAAUGGAUUUUAUCCGCCUAGAGAGAAGCUCGCGGCUGAUUAGCUUGUUGGUAAGGUAAGAGCUUACCAAGGCGACGAUCCAUAGCUGGUCUGAGAGGAUGAUCAGCCACACUGGGACUGAGACACGGCCCAGACUCCUACGGGAGGCAGCAGUGGGGAAUAUUGGACAAUGGGCGCAAAGCCUGAUCCAGCCAUGCGCGUGCAGGAAG
rnacentral:rRNA from 1 species